UUAGUGCAGCUUGGUUUGAGUUCGUUGAGCUUGCUUGCUGCAUAUAUAUCGCAUGGAUUGCACAUUAUAUCGCGAUGUGCACACAAAGUAUAGUGCAGGCCUUCGAUGCAAUACAGUAAAAAGCCUUCGUAUAAGUUCUCGAUCGAAUGCUGACAAGAUUUUCGAGUUGGAGCCUUUCUUCGUCCUUUUCUGGAUUGUUCUUGUGUUCUCGAUUUAUGCCCGUUAUCUCGCCGACAGUUUAGUGGAAACUGAUACUGAUAGUGAUAUUUGAUCUUCCCCUGCUCUGACAACGUGCGGUCAAGUUUGUAAGGCCAGCUAUCUGGCUGAUGCCUUAGUUCCAUGCAGUAUACAAACAGCAAGGAAUUGGCUGCACCGUCACUCAUUCUUCAACUACACAAACCAUUAAGGAAGUUUGCUCUCUCAGGUCUGAGGUCCUGAAACAGGAGUCUCCAUCCAGACUACCAAUGAUAGAUUACCUUUUGUGACCGCCUUUUAUCGCAUCCAUCCUCGCCUAUUGUGACCGCCUUUCAUCGCAUAUAACCUCGCCUCUGUUCCAUCCUACAUGGUACCGUAAUCACCACAUUCUCCACACUUUCGACCGUCUCCAUUAUUCACAUACUGUACAUAUCAACAGUUGAUUGACGGUUGGAAGUUCCCAUCACACUUGUCAUCAAACCAGACAGCUUUCAACCAGAAUCUUCCAGGUGUAAAAAAAAAAAGACCUGGAUUUUCAGUACGGUAUAUGUUUUGCGUUCUUUGUAUAAAAGACUUCUAUACACUCCUUCCAUUUUCAGACGUCUUGUUGGACUGAAAUAUUUUUCACUUCCACUCAUUUCACCUCCCCUCUAAGAAGACAUUUCCCAUAAGCAAAAAAAUCAUUACAUGUUCAUUUUUCAUAAGAAUUUAUCACAGCUGUGAGCUCAUUUCAUCCAUUUCACCUCAUCUUUUCAUGAACGAUUCAUCCCAAUAACGCUUGAAAUAAGAUUUGAAAGGAAUUGGAAAAGACUUGAAACGAAUUGGAAAAGACUUGGAACGAAUUGGAAGAGACUUGAACGAAUUGGAAAAGACUUGGAACGAAUAUUAAAUAACUGAUUACAAUUCCUUAAAAA